rnacentral:rRNA from 1 species
UACGAAGGGUGCUAGCGUUGCUCGGAAUCACUGGGCGUAAAGCUCACGUAGGCGGAUUGUUAAGUCGGGGGUGAAAUCCUGGAGCUCAACUCCAGAACUGCCUUCGAUACUGGCGAUCUUGAGUCCGGGAGAGGUGAGUGGAACUCCUGGUGUAGCGGUGAAAUGCGCAGAUAUCAGGAGGAACACCGAUGGCGAAGGCAGCUCGCUGGGACGGUACUGACGCUGAGGCGCGAAAGCGUGGGGAGCAAACAGG